UUCAGAUGUGGAAACGAGACUAAAGUAAGGGAAUACUGGAAAGAAGAGAGAGAAAAAGGAUGCAGGCUAUGUAAAAGGAAAGAAGAAGAUUUCAGACACGUAAUAGAAGAAUGCGAAAUAACGGAAGGACCAAAGGACGCGGAAAAAAUACUAAACGAGACUGGAGAAGGACUAACAGAACUAAAAGCAAUAAUAGAGAGGAGAAGGGCGAUACAAGACAAGAAGGAACGACAAUAAGAAAGCACAGUUCGUUGCUGUGUCUCUUGAAAAUUGUCGAAAUGAUAACAAAAGUAAAAAAGAAGGAUUUUCAUUCUGGCGAGGCUACGGCCACCUUGAAGUUAUCAGGCAGCCAGAACGUUUCGAUUGCACUACACACCGUGUCGUAUCAAAACUGCACCGUAUCGCCGCACGAAUUAUUCCCUGACACGGCGGAAUUAAUCGCAGCCUGAUAACGCGACUCGAUAACGCACGCGUGUGCUCCGAGAAAAAGUUCGUAACACGUUGAUCGUAGUCGCGAUUGCGAAAAUGAACGAGGAAACAGAAAAUGCCAGGAACUCGGGAAAGUAAAACGAAGAAGGAAGGAAAUGCAAACGAGAAAGUACACCAGCAUUAGAUUUAUGACGAUGGGCUCUCGAGGUGACAUAAUGAGUCGCCGAACGUAGCCGCGGUCACGGGACGGACAUGUAACAACAGAGGUAUGGAAUAAUUAUGCAGCUCUCCUUAAAAGCAAAGAUUGA